UUCAAAUUUUAUAAAUCAAUUCUUGCAACUCCUAAAAGCUAAAAACUGUUUAAUUUAAGUUAACAAAGCUUGAACAUUUUACUUAUAAAGUGAUCAAAAUUAUUCUAAUUAUUACAGGCAAAUGACGAAAAAUAUGCCUCAAAUUCUCAUGUUUGUGUAUGCUUUGAUCAUCCUUCUCUCACUCAUUCUUGUUGCAACUUACAACAUUGACGUGCCUUGCAAAACUGACGAGGAUUGUCCAGAGGCAUCUCCUCCAAGAAUUGUAAAGUGCAUUAAUAGUAUUUGUGAUGAUAUAUCGGGGAUACCAUUUUAAUUAGGUUUAAAAUUAAUUAUGUUAUCCUUAAGCAAAUAAUUUUAUUUGUAUAUCAUAAUGUUUGUACUUUAAUAAUUUUCUUCAAAAUUCUUGUAAGAAAAAAACUUAAAAAUUUA